rnacentral:rRNA from 1 species
GAUGAACGCUGGCGGCGUGCCUAAUACAUGCAAGUCGAGCGAACAGACGAGGAGCUUGCUCCUCUGACGUUAGCGGCGGACGGGUGAGUAACGCGUGGAUAACCUACCUAUAAGACUGGGAUAACUUCGGGAAACCGGAGCUAAUACCGGAUAAUAUAUUGAACCGCAUGGUUCAAUAGUGAAAGACGGUUUUGCUGUCACUUAUAGAUGGAUCCGCGCCGCAUUAGCAAGUUGGUAAGGUAACGGCUUACCAAGGCAACGAUGGGAAGCCGACCUGAGAGGGUGAUCGGCCACACUGGAACGGAGACACGGCCCAGACUCCUACGGGGGGCAGCAGUAGGGAAUCUUCCGCAAUGGGGGAAAGCCUGACGGAGCAACGCCGCGUGAGCGAUGAAGGUCUUCGGAUCGUAAAACUCUGUUAUUAGGGAAGAACAAAUGUGUAAGUAACUAUGCACGUCUUGACGGUACCUAAUCAGAAAGCCACGGCUAACUACGUG